UACAGAGGGGGCAAGCGUUGUCCGGAAUCACUGGGCGUAAAGGGCGCGUAGGUGGCCACUAUAAGGCCGCGGUGAAAGUUCGGGGCUCAACCCUGAAUCUGCCGCGGCGACUGUAGGGCUUGGGCACCGUAGAGGCAGAUGGAAUUCCGGGUGUAGCGGUGGAAUGCGUAGAGAUCCGGAGGAACACCGGUGGCGAAGGCGGCUUCCUGGACCGACACUGACGCUGAGGCGCGAAAGCUAGGGGAGCAAACGGG
rnacentral:rRNA from 1 species